rnacentral:rRNA from 1 species
AUACGUAGGGGGCGAGCGUUAUCCGGAAUUACUGGGUGUAAAGGGUGCGUAGGUGGCUGCUUAAGCGUGAGGUGAAAGGCAAUGGCUUAACCAUUGUGAGCCUCGCGAACUGGGUGGCUUGAGUGCAGGAGAGGAAAGCGGAAUUCCUAGUGUAGCGGUGAAAUGCGUAGAUAUUAGGAGGAACACCAGUGGCGAAGGCGGCUUUCUGGACUGCAACUGACACUGAGGCACGAAAGCGUGGGGAGCAAACAGGAUUAGAUACCCUGGUAGUCCACGCCGUAAACGAUGAGCACUAGGUGUCGGGGUCGCAAGACUUCGGUGCCGCAGUUAACGCAUUAAGUGCUCCGCCUGGGGAGUACGCACGCAAGUGUGAA